ensembl:misc_RNA
AAUAGUCAAACAAAUUAGCUAUGGAGCCACCAAGAGAGUACAUUCAACCCUGAUUCAGAGAUGUCUCAGUUUAUCAGUUUUCUGUCAAUCAUUAAACAACAAAGAUGAAACAUGCAAUUAUGUACAAGGAGAUAGAGCUCCUAAUUCUUUCAUCCUAGCUGAAGCAGAAGAGUUUUAAUUGCUUGGAAAAAUAAGAUUUUUAUUUU